UACAACAGACACCAGACUGCUACUGCCGGUGUAGCCAAAGGAACAAGAGGAGGCAGAGGAGGAGGAGGAGGAAGAAGAAGAGGAACAAGAGAGUGAUUCUUGGAGACGUACCAAUGAAGUUCUGAAGAGACGGCCAACCCGUCAGGAAGUCAACUGAUCACGCAGGGACGCCAAAGAACGCCUGACUCCCGAUCUUUCUAAGAUUUCUGAUUGGGGCAGAGACAAUCUAGUAGUUUUCAAUGCCUCAAAAACUCAAUUCCUCCAUCUAUCAACUCAACACAACCUUUCAGACAGACGUUGACGGGUGCGUGUAGUCGCCCAGAUCCUCUCCCUGUGGAACCAUCCCCUCAACAGUGUUCGAUCCUCCCAGCAGCAGCAACGGUCAGGAGAAGGCGGUCAUUGAAGUGUCAAGUCCCCAAGCUGGCAUGGUGGUGGGUGUUGUGCUGGGCUCCCUUGGGGUUCUUUGUCUAGCUAUUGGGGUAAGUCAAAUAGUUUUUCACUCCUUUAUGCUCUGGGGUCUUGCUGUGUAUGUCUUUUUGCUGUGUUGUUCUGUGGCUAAGAUCUCGUAAUUAAGAUGUGCAUGUGAUUUCUCCAAAAUUUAAACAGUUCCCAAAUCAUUCUUGACACAUUGAAAAUAUUCCAAUACUGUAUAGUUAGUCGACUCAUACUUCAGAGGAUUUUUAUUUAUCUUUUUUUUUUUCACUUGCAACAUUUUUGCUCUAAAGACGUUUGUCAAGUUGUUGAAGAUUCGUCGACGUGUUAUCAUUGUACCACACGGGCUGGGAUUUUCAUUGAAGGAAAAGUCUCUUUCAAGUCAAUUUUACAUAUAUUUCAAAUAUAGUAAAGUACAUUCGAACAAAAAACGAUGAAAGUGACUCGGCACUCUGAACCAACAACAGAGAAACACGAGAGGCACCCUUAACACACUCUCCCACUUGAAUACACCACUUAACUCCACAUAAUGACACCCUCGAUUAUAUUAACACGAAACUCCGCUGCCCUGAUCACAUUACCCACCUGAUCAGAGACCUUCGCUCACCGUGACGCGUCCACACCCCACCAAUGUCCGAGUAGAGAGUGCCACUCCCUUCUUCCGAGAUCGCGUCCUUUCCU